rnacentral:rRNA from 1 species
GACGAACGCUGGCGGCGUGCUUAACACAUGCAAGUCGAACGGAAAGGCCCUGCUUUUGUUGGGUGCUCGAGUGGCGAAGAGGUGAGUAACACGUGAGUAACCUGCCCUUGACUUUGGGAUAACAUCAGGAAACUGGGGCUAAUACCGGAUAUGAUCUCCUGCUGCAUGUUGUUGGUUGGAAAGUUUCGGCGGUUCGGGAUGGACUCGCGGCUUAUCGGCUUGUUGGGGUGGUAGUGGCUUACCAAGGCUUUGACGGGUAGCCGGCCUGAGAGCGUGACCGGCCACAUUGGGACUGAGAUAGGGCCCAGAAUCCUACGGGAGGCAGCAGUGGGGAGUAUUGCGCAAUGGGCGGAAGCCUGAUGCAGCAACGCCGCGUGCGGGAUAACGGCCUUCGGGUUAUAAACAGAUUUCGAAUGUGACGAGGAGUGCGUGACGGUAAUGGGUAAAAAAGCACCGGCUAACUACGUG